GCCAAUGAUAUAAUCUAUUACAAUUUUGCCCAAUUAUUUCUUUCUUACCUCUAAGUUUACUAACUAUAAGUUGACAGGUAACUUCUUUUGCUUUCGUUAAGUUAGCCAACAUACAAAAUCAUAUGUUAGAUGAUAAGCCAUUAUUAAAAUAAACUCCCACUUUGAAUUUACCAACGAAACGAACCACAUCGGAAAGGUGUCUUAAGUCUUGUUUGAUGUUUUCCAGUUCAUAAUUCUAAAGACAACCAAGGUACAUUCAACCUACACGCAAACAUUUUAUGGUCCUUCGAACCGGAUUUCUAUACGCAUUGGUACCGGGUUGCAUAAGUCUGAUUCCUAAAGACAUCAUCACUUCUUACGUCCAUCGCUAAGGAAUAUCUCCCACAUUCCAGAUUGUCCCAGGUUUGAAAUAACUUCCAAUUCUUAUUUAUGUUAUGUACGUUUCGAUUGGGAAACUAGUUUAGAGUUGACAGGCAGAUAAAAGAGAGCACAAAAACUCAAUCGGAUUCCUAUAGUUUCGCUGUGUAUUGUAACAAGUGUCAGUCCGCAUUAAAAUCAUAGUUAUCAGCUGCACAAGCAAAUUAUUGAAAAAGAAGAAAUUGUUUUAUAUACCAAUGUUCUUCGUUUUAAACAAAACUGAGUAACUGAAAAGUUAGUAAAGUUAAGUUUUAAAGAAAUUCAUUAAAGUUAGUCCGAUCGUCCGAAUUUGAGAAAAACGUGAAAAA